rnacentral:rRNA from 1 species
UGGGUCCGCGUCUCAUUAGCUAGUUGGUGAGGUAAUGGCUCACCAAGGCGACGAUCAGUAGCUGGUCUGAGAGGAUGAUCAGCCACACUGGGACUGAGACACGGCCCAGACUCCUACGGGAGGCAGCAGUGGGGAAUAUUGGACAAUGGGCGCAAGCCUGAUCCAGCCAUGCCGCGUGAGUGACGAAGGUCUUCGGAUUGUAAAGCUCUUUUGGCGGGGACGAUAAUGACGGUACCCGCAGAAUAAGCCCCGGCUAACUUCGUGCCAGCAGCCGCGGUAAU